AUGGGGCUGGUCGUGCUGCCGCGAGCCAUCGCUGCGCCUGGCGCCCCGGGGGCUCAGCACCCUGUGCCUAACGCCCCCUUCUCGCCGCGAGCCGUGCUCGGGGCCCGCUCUCCUCCCCUUGUGCCGUCGCCUGGUGGCGGUGGCAGUGCCAGGUGGGACCCGGGGAAGGCCCCGGCGCGGAGCAGGGAGGUUUGUUCUUGGGGAAGCCCCCCCACAGGAAGGGUUUUGGGGUGGGAAGGUGCCGAAGGGUCCCCAGCCCGCGUCCCCGGCCUCCUCCCGCGAGCCUGUUCCAGGAGCGGAGGCCGGGAGGGAGCGGGGCUGCCCCCCCAGCGGCACGCAGCGUGGCGGGCGCCCGGACUGCUUUCCCCCCCCGAGCCCCCCGCGGGUUUUCCUGCUCGGCUCAAGCCCCCGCUGUGCUCCCGGCCUGACCCAGGAAGCCGGAGCCCACCUCGCCCCGCGCCGAGGGGCCGGCCCGCCCUGCGUCCCGCUCCCGUUGCGCCUGGGGGUGCCGGGGGAAUUCACCCCCCGUGCGGCAGAGCCCCGGCGCGAGCCGAGGCUGGGCGGGCGCCCAUGAGAGCGGCCUGGCCCCACUCCGCCUGGCCCCGCAGCCUGGCCCCAUGUGUCCCCAGGCACACGAGGAGGAGGAGGAGGAGGAGGGCAGCGCCUGGUGACACUUCCCCAGCGUUCUCCCCCUGCCUCCGGCAAAUCGCGGGGCAGCGGCUGUCCGAGCCGGAGCGGGCGCCUGGCGUUUGUUUUCUCUCGGAGGAUUCCUUUUUUUCUCCUCGAUUCCCCUCACACCUCGCCGCUCAUCCCCUCGUUGCACAGGGAGCGGUUCCCCCUUCCCUUCUGCGCGCUGCCCGGGGUCUUUUAGUCCCGCUCAGUUCGUCCUUCGCCCCUUUUGUCUCCCACUCCAGCAGCCCUGUCCUUCUCCCGGCCUUUGCCCACUGCUGCCCGUCGGGGUUUUCCCCUUCCCACCCCGUUUCUCCACCUCUGGGCUGCCCCGGCGGCUCGCCAGGGCCGGGAAAUCGCCUUGGAGCCGCGCACCCCAAGCGGCACCGAGCCUUCUGCAUCGGCAGCAGCCCAGCUCCACGGCAAAGCGUCUUUCUGGGGGGGGCUGAAACGCUUCAGCCAGAGGCGGAAUUCCCCCAGCCCCAACGCCUGGCGUGGCCCCCGGCCGCAGCGAGCCCCCUUCCAGCCCAAUUUGCCUUCACGGGGGGCGCGAGUCCUCGGGCCGGGGCGCUGAGACCGGCAGCCGAGCGUCAGCUCCCCUGUCACGCACCCCGUCGCUCAGGGCUCCGGUUGCCCUGCCAAGGUAGCGAGCUCCAAAAUUAG
rnacentral:lncRNA from 1 species